GUUGUGCCAAACACUCCGUCCUCUUCCCAAGGCCGGACGACAUCUCCCCACUGAUCUUCAAAUGCUGCUCGGAGGUAGGUGCUUCUCUCAGUCCAGGUUUGCAGACAGAGAAGCAGGUUAGGGAACCCUACGAGGUCCCCUCUCCGGGAAUCCUCAUAGCUGGCAUUCAACUCUGUCAAUUCUGGUGCUAGCUUCUGUGUCCACAACCCCUGCUCAGGUGCCUCACGUCCACAGUGCAUGGGAAGCAUCUGAUUUCACACCGUGUCUGGCUGCCGCCCUGACAUGAACAUCUCCCAUUUCCUUCUAAAAUAUUCGUGAUGGCAAAGAUGAUAAGAACUUCUUGUAAAGUCAACUCCCUAACUCAGAAGCCCAGAGCCUUCAGAAAUAGGAGCACUCUUGGGUGGAUUAUGGAAGCCAGCAUGGAGGCACUUCAUAAAGUAGACACAGCUACCAACAGUCCCACAAUUCCACUACUGAGCAUGCAGCCACAGAGGGGACAUCCUGAUGGCGCCUCCCUGAGCAUGCCUGAACUCACUGCAAUAAGCAAGAUGUGCAGCCACUUGAGUGUCCACGGACAGGAG
rnacentral:lncRNA from 1 species